GACGAACGCUGGCGGCGUGCCUAAUACAUGCAAGUCGAACGCAGUGGGGACGGGUGAGUAACACGUGGGUAACCUCCCAUCAGAGGGGAUAACACUUGGAAACAGGUGCUAACCCGAUACGGAUGGAGGAACUCGCGGUGCAUUAGCUCGUUGGAGGGGUAACGGCUCACCAAGGCAACGAUGCAUAGCUGACCUGAGAGGGUGAUCGGCCACACUGGAACUGAGACACGGCCCAGACUCCUACGGGAGGCAGCAGUGGGGAAUAUUGGGCAAUGGACGAAAGCCUGACCGAGCCACGCCGCGUGAGUGAAGAUGGUUUUCGGAUUGUAAAGCUCUUUUGUUAGAGAAGCGGUAUCUACCCAGAAAGCCACGGCUAACUACGUGCCAGCAGCCGCGGUAAUAC
rnacentral:rRNA from 1 species